ensembl:lncRNA
GAACUCUUGAGAGCUGCUCUCUUCUAAGCUGUUCUCAUGCUGAUGGAUGUGAUAAUGGGGCCCGGGAUGGUAGCAGCAAGGCCCUUCUGAUAGGAAAGGGUCAGGCCCUUCUGAAGACCUCCAGGCAUCGUUUGUGUCCAGGUGUCCACACCAGCGUGCUAUGACCAAAGGGAUCUGGUGCAGGGCUGUAAAUCCUUUCCCUCCAUGGGAUAUCCAACAAAUAGACCCUGACACUGCUGGGAGUUGGUGUCACCUGGCUUUGGGCUGCUUUGUAACAAGAUGGAUGGAGACAAACUGAGAGACAACGCACCAACAAAGCCAGCCCACUCUGUCCCUGUGUAACAACCAAUGCAAGCAGGACGAUGAGCCAAAAGGACUGUGGUGUAAGCUCUUUAACUGUGCUGAAUUGCUCUUCAUCUCCUAAGAACUGAUGUUAGAAACUCUACUACCAUAGCUGGGUGAGAAGCUGCACCACUGCUGCCUUCCCCACCAAGGGAUGGGGCUUUUUUAAACACUUCCCAGGGCUGUGAACCACACAGUGGACAGCAAUGCGUUUUUCUUUACUUCUCCAAACUGCAGCACAAUGCAGAAAUGUUUUCCCUUUGCUGGGUGAUCCCAAGUGCUUCCCAGCAUCGAGGGAGCAAAAUCACAACGGUGGCUGCAUUUCCCUUAUCCUGUCCCAGCAUUUCCCAGCUCCUCCAGCCUCACUUUUGCUCUCUUUGUUAAACAUCAAUUUUCUCUCCCAUUUUCCUUUUUCACAGCCA